UUUUCUUUCUUGCUCUUCAUAGGACACCCUCCCUUCCGUCUCUAAACCCAACCUAGCAGAAUCUCGGAGAAAUCAAACAACAAAAUCAUUUCAAUUAAUCAAUCAAUCAUCAAUUCACUCUCAACUAAAAGAGGAAAUUCUACUUCGUCAACAAACAAAACAAUAAGAUUUGAUCAAACCCAGUUUAGGGUUUCUUCUUCAAAGAGGAUUUCCAGCCAUUAAAGGUGAGAUCGAGAAGAAGGGUACUAAAUGGGGGACUUGAUGGGAGUGGUAUUGGAGCGUCAACUUUAGCAAUUUUUAGAUGUGAAACCAGCGAGAAAUUGGAGAAAGAACAUAUCGAAGAUUCUAUUUAAGAUGGUAAAGAUUUAACGGGUUCUGUUGGUGUUACUGUGAAGAAUUUUGUUGGUGUUGCUGUGAAGAAGAGGGAGAAGAAUUAUUCCGGUAUGAUGAGAGUAAAUGGGUGUUUACUGAUGGUAUUAUUUCAAAAGGGUUUAUGAUUGAUUUUUGAUGGCAAUAAUUGAGCCAAAUGGUUUCGAUUUGGGA